rnacentral:rRNA from 1 species
AACGAACGCUGGCGGCGUGCCUAACACAUGCCAGUCGAACGAGACCUUCGGGUUUAGUGGCGCACGGGUGCGUAAACCGGGGGGACCUGCCCAUAGGUUUGCCAUAACUCGCGGGAAGGGGUGCUAAUACGGGCUCUUGUCUCCCAUCCAAAGGUUUAUCGACUUUGGAUGGUCCCGGGUUGGCUUGCAUUGUUGUUAGGGUAAAUGCGUAUCACGACUACGUUCCAUAACUGGUUUGCGAGGAUGCUCCGCCACACUGGUACUGAGCCACGGCCAAGACUCCUACGGGAGGCAGCAGUGGGGGAUAUUGGACAGUGGGCUGAGUCAUGAUCCACCAAUGCCGCGUGAGUGAUGUAGGCCGUAGGGUUGUAAAGCUCGUUUACCCGUGAUGAUAAUGACGGUACCGGGAGAAUAAGCUCCGGCUAACUCCGUG